rnacentral:lncRNA from 1 species
AACCUCGACCCCGAGUAAUCCGGACAGUUACUCUGAGCGGUUUGUUAGAAUAUUGCUCCCUCAGAUACAAAGGAGGUAGGACCGGGUUUGCAGACAAUUACAGGGACAAAGUGGGGAACUUACCCUGCUACCCGGGACCAGCACUGCCAAAUUCUCCUGGGUGUCCUGGAGUCCACGCGCUCCCGGGGCCUCGGCGUCCUGAGGAGUUCGGCGAGACCAGAGUUUGGCUUUCUGACCUGUAAGGUGCCUCUCGCCUUGAGCCAAUUUCUAAAUCUUGUCACCCUCCAGAGGAGGGCCUACGCGGCACACACACAGAUAUGGGAUGGUUCAGAGCUUCAGGGGACAAGUGCGUCCUUUAUUGGAAACAAACCAAGGAGGCAUCUUAUCUCCUGAUGACCCUUGUUUGUACCUGGAGCCCUGCUGUUGCCCUUCACUUGCUUCUUCUCCACAGACUGCAGGU